UUACCAUGACAACUGAGGCAGCUGAUUUAUGCUGGGGUGUCAUGGCAGGAGUACGUCCAGCAUACAGAUGGAGAACUCUGAACCCUGUGUGAGAAUGGCCCAGAGGGCAGUAAAGCAGAAUUUUUUAGAUAGAAAGAAUAGGGAAUGGGGACAUCAUGUCACUUCUAGUUUUUCAGGAAGUUUUAAGAUAGGACACAGGACUGUGCUGACAUCCAUACAUAUUAUUGUUUAUUUUAAUUUUUUUUUUCUAGAAAUGAAGAAAGGCCUGUUUCUCUUCUGCUUUUUGGUCUCAGCACUGGCCGCAUAUGUACAAAGUAAGCCACAUGGAAAAAAUCAGCAUGUCAAACACAAGCUGACUC